UGGGGAAUAUUGCACAAUGGGCGCAAGCCUGAUGCAGCCAUGCCGCGUGUAUGAAGAAGGCCUUCGGGUUGUAAAGUACUUUCAGCGGGGAGGAAGGGAGUAAAGUUAAUACCUUUGCUCAUUGACGUUACCCGCAGAAGAAGCACCGGCUAACUCCGUGCCAGCAGCCGCGGUAAUACGGAGGGUGCAAGCGUUAAUCGGAAUUACUGGGCGUAAAGCGCACGCAGGCGGUUUGUUAAGUCAGAUGUGAAAUCCCCGGGCUCAACCUGGGAACUGCAUCUGAUACUGGCAAGCUUGAGUCUCGUAGAGGGGGGUAGAAUUCCAGGUGUAGCUGUGAAAUGCGUAGAGAUCUGGAGGAAUACCGGUGGCGAAGGCGGCCCCCUGGACGAAGACUGACGCUCAGGUGCGAAAGCGUGGGGAGCAAACA
rnacentral:rRNA from 1 species